rnacentral:lncRNA from 1 species
GCGAUUUUCUUGCCUCAGCCUUCCCAGUAGCUGGGAUUACAGGCAUAACUGAAGGUGAAAGGACAGAAUCACCAUGUGUUACUGGCACAGAUGCAUCGGCUAGUGAAGAAAGAAGACAUUCAAACUGGCUGAAGCAGUGCCUACUCAAUAAAACCAGUCAUCGUGCAAAGAAAUGCCACCUGACUCAAAGGCAAAGCCAGAGUGCAGCUAGGAG